rnacentral:rRNA from 1 species
UACGUAGGGGGCUAGCGUUGUCCGGAUUUAUUGGGCGUAAAGAGCGUGUAGGCGGUUUGGUAGGUCCGUUGUGAAAACUCGAGGCUCAACCUCGAGACGCCGGCGGAAACCAUCAGGCUAGAGUCCGGAAGAGGAGAGUGGAAUUCCUGGUGUAGCGGUGAAAUGCGCAGAUAUCAGGAAGAACACCCGUGGCUAAGGCGGCUCUCUAGUACGGUACUGACGCUGAGACGCGAAAGCGUGGGGAGCGAACAGG